rnacentral:rRNA from 4 species
CAAUCAAACCGGGAGAUAGCUGGUUCUCCCCGAAAGCUAUUUAGGUAGCGCCUCGUGAAUUCAUCUCCGGGGGUAGAGCACUGUUUCGGCUAGGGGGCCAUCCCGGCUUACCAACCCGAUGCAAACUGCGAAUACCGGAGAAUGUUAUCACGGGAGACACACGGCGGGUGCUAACGUCCGUCGUGAAGAGGGAAACAACCCAGACCGCCAGCUAAGGUCCCAAAGUCAUGGUUAAGUGGGAAACGAUGUGGGAAGGCCCAGACAGCCAGGAUGUUGGCUUAGAAGCAGCCAUCAUUUAAAGAAAGCGUAAUAGCUCACUGGUCGAGUCGGCCUGCGCGGAAGAUGUAACGGGGCUAAACCAUGCACCGAAGCUGCGGCAGCGAACGUAUCACCCAAGACAACUUUACGGAGUUGACGAUUGACGGAGCGAAGCGACGUCAAAGCGUUCAUUAAAGUCGAGUUGGCUUAGGGAUACGUUCGUUGGGUAGGGGAGCGUUCUGUAAGCCUGUGAAGGUGUGUCGUGAGGCAUGCUGGAGGUAUCAGAAGUGCGAAUGCUGACAUAAGUAACGAUAAAGCGGGUGAAAAGCCCGCUCGCCGGAAGACCAAGGGUUCCUGUCCAACGUUAAUCGGGGCAGGGUGAGUCGACCCCUAAGGCGAGGCCGAAAGGCGUAGUCGAUGGGAAACGGGUUAAUAUUCCCGUACUUGGUGUUACUGCGAAGGGGGGACGGAGAAGGCUAUGUUGGCCGGGCGACGGUUGUCCCGGUUUAAGCGUGUAGGUGUGUGUUCCAGGUAAAUCCGGUUCACUUUAACACUGAGGCGUGACGACGAGGCACUACGGUGCUGAAGCAACAAAUGCCCUGCUUCCAGGAAAAGCCUCUAAGCAUCAGGUAACAUCAAAUCGUACCCCAAACCGACACAGGUGGUCAGGUAGAGAAUACCAAGGCGCUUGAGAGAACUCGGGUGAAGGAACUAGGCAAAAUGGUGCCGUAACUUCGGGAGAAGGCACGCUGACACGUAGGUGAAGUGAUUUACUCAUGGAGCUGAAGUCAGUCGAAGAUACCAGCUGGCUGCAACUGUUUAUUAAAAACACAGCACUGUGCAAACACGAAAGUGGACGUAUACGGUGUGACGCCUGCCCGGUGCCGGAAGGUUAAUUGAUGGGGUCAGCGCAAGCGAAGCUCCUGAUCGAAGCCCCGGUAAACGGCGGCCGUAACUAUAACGGUCCUAAGGUAGCGAAAUUCCUUGUCGGGUAAGUUCCGACCUGCACGAAUGGCGUAAUGAUGGCCAGGCUGUCUCCACCCGAGACUCAGUGAAAUUGAACUCGCUGUGAAGAUGCAGUGUACCCGCGGCAAGACGGAAAGACCCCGUGAACCUUUACUAUAGCUUGACACUGAACAUUGAGCCUUGAUGUGUAGGAUAGGUGGGAGGCUUUGAAGUGUGGACGCCAGUCUGCAUGGAGCCGACCUUGAAAUACCACCCUUUAAUGUUUGAUGUUCUAACGUGGACCCGUAAUCCGGGUUGCGGACAGUGUCUGGUGGGUAGUUUGACUGGGGCGGUCUCCUCCUAAAGAGUAACGGAGGAGCACGAAGGUUGGCUAAUCCUGGUCGGACAUCAGGAGGUUAGUGCAAUGGCAUAAGCCAGCUUGACUGCGAGCGUGACGGCGCGAGCAGGUGCGAAAGCAGGUCAUAGUGAUCCGGUGGUUCUGAAUGGAAGGGCCAUCGCUCAACGGAUAAAAGGUACUCCGGGGAUAACAGGCUGAUACCGCCCAAGAGUUCAUAUCGACGGCGGUGUUUGGCACCUCGAUGUCGGCUCAUCACAUCCUGGGGCUGAAGUAGGUCCCAAGGGUAUGGCUGUUCGCCAUUUAAAGUGGUACGCGAGCUGGGUUUAGAACGUCGUGAGACAGUUCGGUCCCUAUCUGCCGUGGGCGCUGGAGAACUGAGGGGGGCUGCUCCUAGUACGAGAGGACCGGAGUGGACGCAUCACUGGUGUUCGGGUUGUCAUGCCAAUGGCACUGCCCGGUAGCUAAAUGCGGAAGAGAUAAGUGCUGAAAGCAUCUAAGCACGAAACUUGCCCCGAGAUGAGUUCUCCCUGAGACUUAGAGUCUCCUGAAGGAACGUUGAAGACGACGACGUUGAUAGGCCGGGUGUGUAAGCGCAGCGAUGCGUUGAGCUAACCGGUACUAAUGAACCGUGAGGCUUAACCUUACAACGCCGAAG